ACAUUUUGGCACGCGUUUCCUGAUUUCUACGCCGUUUCCAUGGUGACUGUAGGAUGCAACAUGUUUUUUAGCAGUGAUGGAGGGGUGUGGGGAAGCCCUCCUGUCAUCUAGACAUCUGUUGUUUGUGGCUCCUGCAUGCAGCAGAUCCUUCUGGGAAGAACCACGUUAAAAGUUGCUGCUGUGACACCAACAUUUCCCCACUGAGGGAAAUCUCAGGCUGCCAAAAGGGAAGCCAACACGAAAGUGACAGAAAUUGCAGUUCCAUCCUCAUCCACUAGGGACUGGCUCCAUAAAGGGCAACAAAGGACAUUGUCGCCCUUGUGCAGUAACAGACCACUGCACAAGGGAAAACCAUAUAACGGACUGGGACAGAAGAGCGAUAAUCAACACCAAAAAACAAAAAUACAAAAGAUGAAUUAGGAAAGCCAUAGACAUAAGGAGACACGGACAUGGAAUCAUGAACAGAGACGAUGGAGGCUAAUCGUUAGAUCAUGCAUGGGACUGUGUCAUCGAUGAGGAGAGCGCGGGCAGCAGAGGGCAACAGCGUGGCAGAGCAUGACCUCGCAUAAGCAGCCAGGGCACCCAGCUCCGAUUUCAUUGAUCUGAGGCUCUACUUAUGUUUUAAAUGUCCAUAUUAGAGCUCCACAGGCGACUGACACAACUAGCCUCGUAUGGAAGACAGGCGGUCCGGAGCUCCGUCUAGCUUCGGGGGUUAGCUUAACUAGCUAGAAGCUACAUUGGUUCAUUUGUUCCCACCCUCAAAGCCCCUCCCUCAGCUCCACCUCUUUUCCCAUUUUUGGAUUGUCUAAGCGUGGCGAGACGUGUGACACAGCCAAAAUGGCGAUGGUGGGAACUUCCCAUUUUCAAACAAUUAGAGAGAUAAAUUGGCGUUGCUCUGUCCAGAAAUGAACAUGUGUCUAUGGCUCUGGCAAGAGCAACACAAUUACAAGCAUUUCUGUUUUAUCAUUUAGAUCAUAGAGCCUGCAAAAUCAAACAGACAGAAUGAUCACCAAUGCCGGCUACCUAAAUUUUCCUGACACGGGAUAACUGACCAUCAAAAUUAAACCAGUCUGUGAACUGGUCCUCUACCCCCAGUCUACCAAAAGUUGGAAAAGCAACAAUCAGGAGCAGAUAUUAGAUCUCAUGGAUCAAAAUGGGGAAACAGAAAGUUGUCGAGGAUAACAGGACACAUCCAACAUGUCCUCACAUAAAAUUAUGGUUUCUUCAGGAGCUGUGAUCACAAGAUCAGGUGCAAGACCUGAUGGUGGGAACAGACAUAGAUUUUCCAUCUCAAAGGGAGAAGAACAGAUGAUGAAAUGUAUGAAUUCUACUUGCAUCUCAAGUCAAAAGUGUGCUAAUUUUCAAACAUGUCAAAUGCUGCAACAAAGUUCUUUACUUAAGCUGCUCCCCAGGAGAAAAAAUAACCCUGUCUUAGUUUUGGGUGUCUGCAAUGAACUGUUUCCUAGAGGAAAAUAAAGAUGAUAGAAUAAAAAUUUAUGUUUAUUAAUAUGGUUCUAAGUCUUAAUGGUAAUCCUAGAACAGAUGAAGAAAACUGGACUUCAUGGUUUCGUGAAGAUAUUUAACUUCUCAUCCAAUGAACUUGAUCAGUUCUUUAAAUAAUGACUGACAUAUGAGGGGAAGUGUCUCUUAGGUAAACGAUUAUAUACGUGAUUGCACAGCAAGGCCUGCAUGAACAGAAGCAUAAUCUACUUUAUGUGUUUAAAAUAUCAUUAAACUCAAAAGUGAUCAAAUAUUUUUCCUCCUGGAAAAUAAUUUAAAAAACUGAGAUUGAAGUUGACUACAACAUCUCACUAUGGCCCGUAAGAGUUUUGAAAAGGCGGGCAGACAUACUCCUGAAGUCUGUAAAAUAACGCAAAAAGUCAAAUAAAAUAAUAACUUAUCAAUUAUUUAAUAGUUUGAUGUAA